rfam:Ipomoea nil DNA, scaffold: scaffold2756, cultivar: Tokyo-kokei standard.
GACGGUUUGGCCGAGUGGUCUAAGGCGCCAGAUUUAGGCUCUGGUCCGAAAGGGCGUGGGUUCAAAUCCACAAAUGUUU